rnacentral:lncRNA from 1 species
CGUUUUUCUUGAUAUAAUAAUCAUUGCCAUUCAGAUCAGAAAUGGUUAGUAAUCCAUUCCUGAACAUCAUGGCAAGAAACACCACUUGUUUACUGAUAAUAUUUAUUUCAUGUUCACUCUGGUGCGUUCAGAGUAAGAGAGAGAGAGAGUAAGCAUGAGGACGCUAACAGGGCAGGGAGAGCAGGUGACGUGGAGGUGAGUGAGAAAAGGAGCAAAUAUUGAUGACUGAUCUGAUAUCGCCGUGUUGGUGUUGUUCCUACGACAUAAUUAAUGUUGGCACAACUGAGGUUAGGUUUAGGCACAGGCCCCGCUGAGGUUAGGUUUAGGCACAGGUGUCACUGAGGUUAGGUUUAGGCACAGGUGUCACUGAGGUUAGGUUUAGGCACAGGUGUCACUGAGGUUAGGUUUAGGCACAGGUGUCACUGAGGUUAGGUUUAGGCACAGGUGUCACUGAGGUUAGGGUUAGAUCAAAGGGUGGGGGGCAAAGGAAUAUUCUGUCUUUGGACUGGGGUAACCAACUAACUACAGGUCAGUUGCAAUGAUGGUCCUGGAGAAACAUUAAUUAUGAAGUCUUAGGAACAACACCAAGACGGCGAUAUCAGAUCAUGCAAAUAUUGAUGGUUAAGAGUCUUAUAUCCGCAAACCUACAAAGCGUUACACUGGUCAGGCUGCAGUCCAUAUCCAUCCGGAUGCCCAGUCUGUACAGAGCCCAAUUCUACAACGCCUUGGACACAGUGAAACCUCAAUUCAGAGGUUUGAUCAAGCUGGAUUCCACAAGCUGCAGCAGCUGCUAGCAUUAUUUGAGAAAUGGUGCCAGAGGUGAGA